rnacentral:rRNA from 1 species
UACGUAGGGUCCGAGCGUUGUCCGGAAUUAUUGGGCGUAAAGAGCUCGUAGGCGGCUCAGUAAGUCAGGUGUGAAAACUCCAGGCUCAACCUGGAGACGCCACUUGAUACUGCUGUGGCUAGAGUCCGGUAGGGGAGCAUGGAAUUCCUGGUGUAGCGGUGAAAUGCGCAGAUAUCAGGAGGAACACCAGUGGCGAAGGCGGUGCUCUGGGCCGGAACUGACGCUGGAGGAGCGAAAGCGUGGGGAGCAAACAGG